GGUUAGUCCCAGCUAUGAGGUGAUGUCUGUGUUCAGAAAACCCUGACACCUCAAAGGCAGGAGCUACAUGGAAAUGGAUACAACCUCAAGAUGGCCAGGAAGCUUUCUUUGUGUGAAACAAGAGCCAAUGAAUGAGUACAGAGAAACAAGAAAAUUAUAUGAACUGAUGGAAAGUAAAUUGAACCAAGAAAACAAGAUACAUGAUUACAAGAAUGUACAAGUAACGAACAACAAAAAGGUCCUAGGUUGAAGGCUGUGAAAGUAUAAUGAUCUGAGAAGGGGGAAGCUAAUCUCCCUCCUGAAGGCAAGGAACAGACUCUCCACAUUCCAGAUUAUUAGAAAGAAUGAUCACUCCUAAAGGAAUCAGAAGUGAAGCCCCCAGUGCAGAAGAAAAAUGGUAUCUGAGGUGGAGGGAAGAUAACUCUUGUCAGGAUGAUGAAGCAUGAAAGAAUGCAUUGCUUUUACAAUUGGAUUUAAGAUUGAAGAGAAAGGAGUUGGAUACCAUGAAGAAGUUGUACAAUAAUGGCCACUGAAGUCCCUUCCAUAUCUUAAAUUUUAUGAUUCUGUGAUUUUGUGGCUUGAUGACCUCUAAGAUUUCUUAGGUUUAUGAUCUUGGAUGAGAUAUUUUUCUGUGGAAAGAACAAUGCAUUUAGGGUCAUGGGGAUGAAUUUCUAACCAGAAUUUCACAUAUUAAGCUAUGUCUCUUCUGGCAGUAAUAUGGUCAAGUCAUUUAACCUCCCUGUGCCUCAGUUUCUCAAUCUGUAAAAGGUUGAAGUUGGACUAGAUUGCUUUUUGGUGUCAUUUCCAGCCUUAGAUCUUUGAUCCUUGCCUUCCAAACACUUUCUAUGGGGGCAUUAGGAAGAUUUCAAAGCUAAACUUAAGUAAAGUGGUAAGUAAGGGAAAAUUCAAUGUUCAUAUGCUAUAAUAGGGGCAAUAAUGUAGCUUUUAAGUCAUACCUGGAAUAAAGGUCAUUGAAAAGACAAAGGCUGGGAUUCAAGGGGAGAGGCCAUUGAAUAUGGAAGAGACAGAACCAUAUCAUUUGAAGAACUUAAAGGAAAAGUAUGGAGGGGAAGAAUGAAAAUCUUAUCUAUCUUUCUAUCAUUUAUCCGUCUAUCUCUAUAUCAGGGCUUCUUAAAUGAAGGAUAUACAAAAAUGAAUUUGGAGAUGAGGUGGAGAGAGGGUAAAACUUAAACCAAAUUCUUAUCUGGUCUAUGAUGGGGUUGUAAAAAAAGAAGAAGAAGAAGAAAAAGAAGAGGAAGAUAUCAGUAAAAGAAUUCAAGAUUUGUCUUUUGUGUGGGCAGGAGAGAGAAGGGUUUGUAUAUAUGGGAUAUAAGUUUGGAUUGCUAUAAACUAAGAUGAGAUUUUUUUUAGGUUUACAGUAGGUAGGAGAGAGGGGGCUGUGAUCCCAUGAUCCUAUGAAAUGAAGUUAUGCUAUUCUUUUCUUUUAAUUUAAUUAUUGAAUAUAUUUAUUCUCAGGUAUCUCAGCCUCUUUCUACCCUCCCUACACUGUAGAAGAUUUCACCUGAAAAAAAAAAAGCUAUGUAUAUAUAAAUUGUGUCUUCCAUGUUUCUAUUUUUCAGUUCAUUUUUUGGAAAUUGAAAUCUGUAGCUAUAUAUAAUAUUCUCUUGGUGUUAUUUGUUUCACUCUUCAUUACUUCAUGUAGGUCUUUCCAAGCCUCUUUUUCAAAAUCGACCUGCUCAUCCUUUUUUACCUUUCAGUCGUUUCCCAUAACAACCAUAUACCACAAUCUGAAUAGCCACUUCUCAAUUGUUGGACAUCUCAUUUUCCAGUGCUUUCCCACCAUAAAGAGAACUGCUAUUAAUUUAUUGGAAUAUAUAGGUUCUUUUCCUUUCCCCCAAAUUUUCUUGGGAAACAGACCCAGCAAUCCAGGGUCUAAGCAUAUACAUAGUUUUAUAACUCUCUGGACAUAAUUACAAAUUGAUCUUCAAAAUGGUUGGAUCAGUUUGCAGUCACACCAACAGUGUAUUAGUGUCCCCAUUUUUCUACAUUCUCUUCAGUAUGCUAUUUUGCCCUUUUACUAAUUUAGGCAAUAUGAUAGGCAUGAGAUGAUAUCUCAAAGUUGUUUUGUUUACAUUUCUCUAAUCAGUAGUGAUUUAGAGCAUUUUUUUCACAUACACAUAUAUGGUUUUCAUUUCUUCAUCCAAAAACGGUAUCUUUUGCCCAUUUAUGAUAUCAGAGACCAGCUCAUUUUAUUUUAGUUUUUUAGUUUUUUAAAAUCAGUUAAUUUAGAAUAUUUUUUCAUGGUUACAAGAUUCUUGUUCUUUCCCUCCCCUCCCACCAAUCCCCUCCCAUAGCUGAUGCACAAUUCCACUGGUUUUUACAUGUGUCAUUGAUCAAGACCUAUUUCCAUAUUAUGAUAUUUGAACUAGGGUGAUCAUUUAGAGUCUACAUCCCCAAUCAUAUCCCCAUCAACUCAUGUGAUCAAGCAGUUGUUUUUCUUCUGUGUUUCUACUCCCACAGUUCUUCCUCUGAAUGUGGAAUAGCAUUCUUUCUCAUAAGUCCCUCCAAAUUGUUUUGGAUCUGCAUUGCUACUAGUAGAGAAGUCCAUUACCUUUGAUUGUACCACAGUGUAUCAGUCUCUGUGUACAAUGUUCUCCUGGUUCUUCUCCUUUCACUGCAUCAAUUCCAGGAGGUUGUUCCAGUUCACAUGAAAUUCCUCCAGUUCAUUAUUUCUCUGAGCACAAUAGUAUUUCAUCACCAACAUAUACCACAGUUUGUUCAGCCAUUCCCCAAUUGAAGGUCAUCCCCUCAUUUUCCAAUUUUUUUGCUACCACAAAGAGCGCAGCUAUGAAUAUUCUUGUAAAGGUCUUUUUCCUUUUUAUCUCUCUGGGGUACAAACCCAGCAGUGCUAUGACUAGAUCAAAGGGCAGGCAGUCUUUUAGUGUCCUUUGGGCAUAGUUCCAAAUUGCCUACCAGAAUGGUUGGAUCAGUUCACAACUUCACCAACAAUGCAUUAAUGUCCCAAUUUUACAACAUGCCCUCCAACAUUUAUUUCUUUCCUUUGCCAAUCUGCUAGGUGUGAGGUGAUACCUCAGAGCUGUUUUGAUUUGCAUUUCUUUGAUUAUAAGAGAUUUUACAACACUUUUUCAUGUGUUUAUUCAUAGUUUUGAUUUCUUUAUCUGAAAAUUGUCUAUUUAUGUCCUUUGCCCAUUUAUCAAUUGGGGAAUGGCUUCCUUUUUUGUACAACUGAUUUAGCUCCUUAUAAAUUUGAGUAAUUAGACCUUUGUCAGAGGUUUUUGUUAUAAAUAUUUUUUCCCAAUUUGUUACUU